rnacentral:rRNA from 1 species
AUAGCAAUAUGUCAGCGGCAGACGGGUGAGUAACGCGUGGGAACAUACCUUUUGGUUCGGAACAACACAGGGAAACUUGUGCUAAUACCGGAUAAGCCCUUACGGGGAAAGAUUUAUCGCCGAAAGAUUGGCCCGCGUCUGAUUAGCUAGUUGGUGAGGUAACGGCUCACCAAGGCGACGAUCAGUAGCUGGUCUGAGAGGAUGAUCAGCCACAUUGGGACUGAGACACGGCCCAAACUCCUACGGGAGGCAGCAGUGGGGAAUAUUGGACAAUGGGCGCAAGCCUGAUCCAGCCAUGCCGCGUGAGUGAUGAAGGCCCUAGGGUUGUAAAGCUCUUUUGUGCGGGAAGAUAAUGACGGUACCGCAAGAAUAAGCCCCGGCUAACUUCGUGCCAGCAGCCGCGGUAAUACGAAGGGGGCUAGCGUUGCUCGGAAUCACUGGGCGUAAAGGGUGCGUAGGCGGGUCUUUAAGUCAGGGGUGAAAUCCUGGAGCUCAACUCCAGAACUGCCUUUGAUACUGAGGAUCUUGAGUUCGGGAGAGGUGAGUGGAACUGCGAGUGUAGAGGUGAAAUUCGUAGAUAUUCGCAAGAACACCAGUGGCGAAGGCGGCCUCACUGGCCCGAUACUGACGCUGAGC